rnacentral:lncRNA from 10 species
CAACUGGCUUCUACCGGUAGGUGACAGGGCAGUGUUCCCAGCAGUGGGACAAGAGGCACUGGCACCAGGCCAUGAGCCAUGCAUUCCUAGCUCUGCAGGGCAUGCAUGCCACGCGGACUGUGACAGUGAGCUCUUCCAGGCCCCCAGUGAGCCUGAGAGGGGGUCUGGGAAGAGUCAAGAGACACCCAGACAGUGCCAUGUGGCAGUGAAGCCUCUGGUCCCAAUCUGCCAGGGUGCAAAGCCCCAGGACUGCUGGUGGGAUGUUGGCACUACCCCGUUUUCCUUUUCCAGCUACAACAGAAUGGCAGAGAGGAAAGGACCCUCCGGGAUCUUCCAGUUCAGCCAGCCCAUUUUACAGAGGUGGAGACUGAGGCCAGAGGCAGGUCUGGUCCAGACAGCUGUGAGAAGUCCCCUGGAGGCAGCGUCCCAGUGGAGCUGGGAGGAAAGAGGGGCCCAGAAAAAGGAAUUUGACCUCUGAUCUGCAGCCAGUUGGUAGCAUUAUUCUGGAUUAUCCUAAAUUGAGCCUGGAACCCUGGGCUUGUGUGACAGACCAAGGGGCCCCACGGGCUCUCUCUGCUCAGGCAGCUGGAGACACAGGUAGCGCCGUAACACCCAGCGACACAGGCAUGAUUCUUUUCCAUAAAACAUUCACACCACUGCCAGCCUUGAUUCUCAAAACAGCCCUGCCAAGGAGAGGCUGUUACUGUCCCAUUUUACAGAUGAAAACAUCAAGGCUCAGGGCCGG